rnacentral:rRNA from 1 species
UACGUAGGGUGCAAGCGUAAUCGGAAUUACUGGGCGUAAAGCGUGCGUAGGCGGCUAUGUAAGACAGAUGUGAAAUCCCUGGGCUUAACCUAGGAACUGCAUUUGUGACUGCAUUGCUAGAGUGUGGUAGAGGGAGAUGGAAUUCCGCGUGUAGCAGUGAAAUGCGUAGAUAUGCGGAGGAACACCAAUGGCGAAGGCAAUCUCCUGGACCUGCACUGACGCUCAUGCACGAAAGCGUGGGGAGCAAACAGG